GAGACCUUGUUUCUAAUAUAAAAUUGAGAAUGGAAAUGGGGAUCACUGUUUCUAAUCAUCUUCGGAAGGCCCCUUUUUUAAUUUAUAAUUACCAAUGGAAGUAGAAAGACCUUUUGUCUAACCUGUCUUUGUGUUAUUUUUUAUACGUCCGUCAAUUUUGACGGGACGUAUUAUGGUAUACAAAUGUCCAGUGUCCGUCCGUCCGUCCGUCCGUCUGUCCGGUGUAAACAUGUCGCACCGUAACUUGAGAACGACUUAUCCAAAUUU
rnacentral:lncRNA from 1 species